GUAAAAAUGAAAACAAUUGUAUUGUCUUUGACUAAUUUUAUUUUUAAAGAAUCAUUACAUGGUCAGAUGGUAUUAUUCUGUGAGAUCAUUAUCCCACAAGUGAUCUGUUACAGCCUGUAUCACACAAUCCACAUGUGAUCUGUUACAGCCUGUAUCACACAAUCCAUAGGUGAUCAGCUAUACAGCCUGUACCACACACUCCACAGGCAAUCUGUUACAGCCUGUAUCACACAAUCCACAGGCAAUCUGUUACAGCCUGUAUCACACACUCCACAUGUGAUCUGUUACAGCCUGUAUCACACACUCCACAAGUGAUAUGUUACAGCCUGUAUCACACACUCCACAGGCAAUCUGUUACAGCCUGUAUCACACAAUCCACAGGCAAUCUGUUACAGCCUGUAUCACACACUCCACAAGUGAUCUGUUACAGCCUGUAUCACACAAUCCACAGGUGAUCAGCUAUACAGCCUGUAUCACACACUCCACAGGCAAUCUGUUACAGCCUGUAUCACACACUCCACAGGUGAUCUAGAUCUGCUAUACAGCCUGUAUCACACACUCCACAUGUGAUCUGUUACAGCCUGUAUCACACACUCCACAAAUGAUCUGUUACAGCCUGUAUCACACACUCCACAGGCAAUCUGUUACAGCCUGUAUCACACACUCCACAGGCAAUCUGUUACAGCCUGUAUCACACACUCCACAGGUGAUCUAGAUCUGCUAUACAGCCUGUAUCACACACUCCACAUGUGAUCUGUUACAGCCUGUAUCACACACUCCACAAAUGAUCUGUUACAGCCUGUAUCACACACUCCACAGGCAAUCUGUUACAGCCUGUAUCACACAGUCCACAAGUGAUCUGUUACAGCCUGUAUCACACAAUCCACAGGUGAUCUGCUAUACAGCCUGUAUCACACACUCCACAAGUGAUCUGUUACAGCCUGUAUCACACACUCCACAGGUGAUCUAUUACAGCAUCAAUCACACACUCCACAGGCAAUCUGUUACAGCCUGUAUCACACACUCCACAAGUGAUCUGUUACAGCCUGUAUCACACAUUCCACAAGCAAUCUGUUACAGCCUGUAUCACACACUCCACAUGUGAUCUGUUACAGCCUGUAUCACACAUUCCACAAGCAAUCUGUUACAGCCUGUAUCACACAUUCCACAAGCAAUCUGUUACAGCCUGUAUCACACACUCCACAUGCGAUCUGUUACAGCCUGUAUCACACACUCCACAGGCAAUCUGUUACAGCCUGUAUCACAUGCUCCACAUGUGAUAUGUAACAGCCUGUAUCACACACUCCACAGGUGAUCUGCUAUACAGCCUGUAUCACACACUCCACAGGCGAUCUGUUACAGCCUGUAUCACACACUCCACAAGUGAUCUGUUACAGCCUGUAUCACACACUCCACAGGCAAUCUGUUACAGCCUGUAUCACAUGCUCCACAUGUGAUAUGUUACAGCCUGUAUCACACAAUCCACAGGUGAUCAGCUAUACAGCCUGUAUCACACACUCCACAGGCAAUCUGUUACAGCCUGUAUCACACACUCCACAGGUGAUCUAGAUCUGCUAUACAGCCUGUAUCACACACUCCACAUGUGAUCUGUUACAGCCUGUAUCACACACUCCACAAGUGAUCUGUUACAGCCUGUAUCACACACUCCACAGGCAAUCUGUUACAGCCUGUAUCACACACUCCACAGGCAAUCUGUUACAGCCUGUAUCACACACUCCACAGGCAAUCUGUUACAGCCUGUAUCACACACU